CUUCCAGUGGCUCAGACGGUAAAGAAUCUGCCUGCAACGCAGAAGACCUGGAUUCAAUCCCUGGGUUGGAAGA
rnacentral:tRNA from 1 species